rnacentral:rRNA from 1 species
UCGGGAAUAUUGGACAAUGGGCGAAAGCCUGAUCCAGCAACGCCGCGUGCGGGACGAAGGCCCUCGGGUCGUAAACCGCUGUCAGGAGGGAGGAACGGUGCGUGGUUAAGAGCUGCGUACUUUGACAGUACCUCCAGAGGAAGCCCCGGCUAACUCCGUGCCAGCAGCCGCGGUAAUACGAAGGGGGCUAGCGUUGUUCGGAUUUACUGGGCGUAAAGCGCACGUAGGCGGAUCGUUAAGUGAGGGGUGAAAUCCCAGGGCUCAACCUUGGAACUGCCCUUUAAAAGCUGCUAGUCUAGAGACCGGAAGAGGUUAGGGGAAUACCUAGUGUAGAGGUGAAAAUUCGUAGAUAUUAGGAGGAACACCAGUGGCGAAGGCGCCUACCUGGACCGAUACUGACGCUGAGGUGCGAAAGUGU